ACAAGACCUCAGAUGUGAUCAUAUUCUCGUUGUAUGUUGUUCAGAGAAGACCACAGAUAUGAUCAUAUUCUCAUGGUAUCAGAUCUGUGACCACUUACCUCCCAUGAAGUUGCCUGUAUGAUUAUACGUGAUCCAAAGCCAUCACAUCAUGUUCACCUUCAGCUAUUGGAGGAGAAGUGAGAAGUAGGAAUUGCAAUAUGAGGAAUAAUAAGAAAAACUUUGUGAAAGCUAAAUUAGCUGGGUAUGAUAUAGGGAGAAAUGUGUAAACAUUGUACUAUAUAUAGUAU
rnacentral:lncRNA from 1 species